CUCUCUCUCUCUCUCUCUCUCGUUCGGCCCGCUCGCUCACGCGCGUGCGCCCUUUCCUUCUCCCUUUCUCUCCCUCCGUCCUCGCUCCCUCGAACGUCGAGCGGUGACGGCGACUUCUAUCGCGCGCGAGCGCGCUCACUCGCGAGUGAAAAGCGUGACGACCGAGUGGAACAUAUAUGGCACGCAGUGCCGGGUUUGGAUCCACGUGGCCCCUGGGUUGUGGGGGUUGUGUGCGAUCCGUUCCCUUUGCAGAAUAAAAUUGAAUGUCAGAGAUGCAUCGUUUCCCUUAAAACGGUAGGACCUGUCGUAAAACAAAGCUCCGGAUUACACCUUGUUUGUUUAUAUGUAUAUAGAUGUAUAUAAUUGGAUCGAAUGGUGUCGCUUCAUUGAUACAUCUGUGAUUUUUCUCUAAUUUCUUCAUUGUUAUUCCCCUUCUUCCUCUUUUCCAUUCGUUUUCUAUCCUUUUCGUUUCAAUUUCUAUAUCGAUUUCGAAAUUCCUUACGAUUUGUUUCAGGGGGGUUGUGGCAGCCCUUCGUCGUCCUUUUCGCUCCACAUUUGUGAUUAACAUCGCUACAUAUAUACGCGCAUACACAGAGGCACGCGCGGCGCGCGAUCACAUAAGUGCGCCUGGGGUGCCGUUACAUGGAGCGUAACUUGCGUAAGCGUAACCUGCGUAACCUAGUAAUUUUAUAGAAGUUACUAUAAAACUUACGCCUAGUUAGUUUACGCUUUCUACGCCAGUUGUCAAUUACGCCGAUCCAAUUUCUGGUGGAAAAUACGCUAAAUGCAUGGUGUGCGACAGUGUGUGUGUAUCCUUUUUUGACUCGCGAUCGCCGUGCCAAAAUUUCUGAAAAAAUGGAUCAAAUUCGGCUUACUGCAGCUUAUACAUUUUCACUUAUGUAUUUCCUUUUUAAAAUACAGCAUAAAUGUGGGUAUUGUGGGUGGCUCUUUAGCUUCGCCACAAAUUUUAUUGAUCAUAAGUGCUUCAAGCAGUACGUUGAAGGAGAAGACCACAUCAGCAUCGAUGAAAACCAUAUCGUAACAAUAAGUAUAAUUUGUUGGCAAGAACCGCUAAUACAAGAUUAGAAUCCAUGUUUAAGAGA